AUUGAACGCUGGCGGCAGGCCUAACACAUGCAAGUCGAGCGGAUGACGGGAGCUUGCUCCUUGAUUCAGCGGCGGACGGGUGAGUAAUGCCUAGGAAUCUGCCUGGUAGUGGGGGACAACGUUUCGAAAGGAACGCUAAUACCGCAUACGUCCUACGGGAGAAAGCAGGGGACCUUCGGGCCUUGCGCUAUCAGAUGAGCCUAGGUCGGAUUAGCUAGUUGGUGGGGUAAUGGCUCACCAAGGCGACGAUCCGUAACUGGUCUGAGAGGAUGAUCAGUCACACUGGAACUGAGACACGGUCCAGACUCCUACGGGAGGCAGCAGUGGGGAAUAUUGGACAAUGGGCGAAAGCCUGAUCCAGCCAUGCCGCGUGUGUGAAGAAGGUCUUCGGAUUGUAAAGCACUUUAAGUUGGGAGGAAGGGCAGUAAGCUAAUACCUUGCUGUUUUGACGUUACCGACAGAAUAAGCACCGGCUAACUCUGUG
rnacentral:rRNA from 1 species